UGUUCGGUUCUCCGUCCUCUCCUUCGUGACUUCUCCAUGGCCGCCAAGAGGAAGCCCAGCAGGUCGCCGGCGGCGGCGAAUGCGAAGGAAGAUGAUGCCGAGGGUCUCUUCUCCUCCCGCUCCUUCGUGCACACCACACUCUGCGCCCGCCUCCAACCAAGGAAGCUCCUCAUCUGACCUGAGCAAAGAGCAAAAGUAGGGAAGCACACACCUUGGUUAUUAAGCAGCAGCAGCAGCAGAUCCAAUGCUUUGAGAGAAGAGUAGCGAGGAUGUGGACUAUGAAAGAUGAGCAGUGAGGUUGUGGUGUUGAUGUGAAGUUAAUUUGUCGUUCCUCUACCUUAUAGCUUUGUUCCCAACGUCAUAAGAUUGUGACAGAGAAGCGUCCAGAUUACAAGCAAUUAUCCUGUCGAUUAGUUCUAGGCCCGGCCGCGCAUCAGACAUAUGAAAAAUGGUUUAUUAGGAGCGCUGGCCUGGGUUUCAAUCAUUAUUAAGGUUCCUAAUUAAACUGUUAAAAGUUCUGAGGUAAUCAAAAAAGGGGAUGCACUA